GAGGCCGGUGAUGGUAAUGGGAGCUGAUCGGUUUAUCGCCAGGCGGCCAGUAAAUGGCGGCGACGCGGAGGGAAUUAUGAACAACAACAUGGCAGGGAGGAUUCCUAAACACCUACUGUAGGCCACAAACAACGAAUGAAACUCUGUCGGUCCCGCGUUGAUAAAAUCUGAAGGAUUUUCUCAUGCACAUGGCCUAGUUCAUAUCGACCAUCUUGUUUUAACGGGGUCCGUGCGCAUGCGUUUAAUUGGUGGGCGGCACCUCGAACGUCCACGUGACCAGGAGAGGCAAUGAUUUGAUUCUCAGUCUGCAGACAGGAGCUGGAGAACUGAAGACAGGCAAAGAGAGAUGGAUUGAACAGGAGGAUUUAUGAUUAGAAAUCUCAAACCAAGCACCACAGGAAGGCACUUGACUCAUCAGGAUCUGAAUAUCACCAGCCUUUGAAUAUGGAAGGAGAAUAUUUGUCUGUUCUGCAUUCAAGAAAGGGUUUCAAAUACUAUUGUGACUUCAAAAACACUGAGCCACAGUGAUAACAGCUGUAUCCACUAACACAACCUGAAAAAGAAACCACUAUUCUGAGGAGAAACCACACGUGUUGCAAGAUUGUCCAAUCUGGAGUCACACAAGGACACCAGCACCAUGGAGAAACAAUGGAGAUGCGAGGACUGUGGAAUUGGCUUCAGUUACCCAGCCCAGCUGGAAUUAUGGAGUCAUACUGGAGAGAGGCUCUGGAAAUGUGAGGAAUUUGGCAAGGGAUUUGAUUCUCAUUACCUGCCAGAAACCCAUCAAUGCAGUCACACUGGUGAGAAGCCAUUCUUCUGUUCCGUGUGCAGAAAGGGAUUUGCACAGUCAACUGUCCUGGCAUUGCAUCAGUGAAUUCACACUGACCAGAGGCCCUUCUGCUGCACUGACUAUGGAAAGAGGUUCAGGCAGUCAUACUACCUCACUGUACACCAGUGAGUUCACACUGGGAAGAGGCCAUUCACUUGCUCUAAGUGUGGGAUUUAAUGUAUCCUCCCACUUGCUGAAGAAUGAGCAAGUUCUUACUGAGGACAGGCUGUUCACUUGCUCCGAGUGUGGGAAGGGAUGUAUUCAGUUAGCCAAACUGGCAUCACAUCAACGAAUUCACACAAAGGAGAAGUUGCACUCGCUGUCGAAAGAAAUUCAAACUUUCGAGCAACUUCAAAGCACACCAGUAGGUUCACACUCGGGAGAGGCUAUUCACUCACACCGUAUGAGAGACAGGGUUCCCUUGAUUACCCAGAAUGUUGAGACACCAGCAAAUGCACAAGUGACUGCAAACUCUGGAUUGUACUGUUGACCAUAUCCAGGAUUGGUAGUCUGACAGUAUUCAGUGUUUCCGCUGAUAUUAACAACACACUAUAAAACUUCAACAAGAACCUGAUUACAAUGAAGUUAUAAAUGUGAUCACCUUUGGUGCAAAAUCUACAAUUUGGUGUCUGAUUCUCUCUGCAUCCUGGGAAGGCCUUCACAAGAGUGCUUUUGAAAGACCUCAUCUCCUUGAAGACUGACUUUAUCCUGAAGCAGAGUGUGAUUUCCAUGCUGGCAGAGUGACAGGGGACACACUAUUCUCCUUACCCCAGGUACAAAACAAGUGCUCAGAACAGGAUUUACCUCCUCACCUUCAUGUUGUAGAACUGACUAAACCCAUUUGAAACCAAAAGUGGGACAGAUUUUGACAGGAUUUUGGGCGAAAUUUGCUGUCGGCCAAAGCUCUUCAGGCUGAUCUGCUCCUUUAAUAAACACACUCCAUAAUCUCACAGCACCACAUCUGACAUAUUCAGGGUGAAGAAUGGAGUGACACAGACACCAACACCAAAAUCAACAAACUACCAUGAUGCCUGGUAACCAUAAACAAAAAUAACUUCUCUCAGGGAGAUGUGACAAUGAAUGAUGAGAUGAGGAAUCAGAACAGUGCAAUUGAAGUCGAGAAAGGCAUUGUAUUAAAUUGCUGCUUUCCAAAUCUUGUCCCAAUGGGACACAUUCUAAUCUCUCAAAAUCUGCAUCACCUGAGAGUUAAGUUUUGGGAGUUCUGAGAAUUGCUCAUCAGUGUGGCAAAGGGAGAUUGGCACAGAGUUAGUCACAUAUUAUUAAUGUAUUUGGGUUCUGAUUAUUAAUGCAAUAAUAUCUAGAUUAUUCAUUCUAUACACUCGGGAUUAUUGAUACAACUGCUGAAUUACCUUUAUGUAAUAAGAUCCUGUUUAUUAAUGUAA